UACAAAAUAUAUGAAAUUAUACCGUCUGUCAUCCCUACCAUCAACCUUGAAAUCCUCGCCAUCCUCUCAUCCACCUUCCGUUCAUGCCUUGCUCUUUUCGCUACGACUUCCCCCGCUAAACUUAAAGUGGGCAGCUUAAGAGGACGUAAACCACACUUGGUAUUGUCGCGUUAUGGUUAGCAUAUUAGGGUAUGUUUGUUUGGGGGAAACAAUUUACGGAAAUCAUCCGAUCAAAUACCAUCACCGACUUCUCACCGGCGACAUUUUUUGAGGCCAACGUUCAUCUUCUCAGGAUGAUGAUCAGGAAUCGAAGAAUUCGAGUUGAUGAUGUUUUUUGCCUAUGGUGGAGAAAACGAAGACCGUAAAAUCAAUUACUCAGUAGAACACUAGUAGCAUGAUCGUAGAAUUCGAGGGGUUAAACUAAAGACUCCUCAUGACCUGCUGGAAUUACUAAAAGAUUGAUGCUUUAUCAGAGUGAGCAUUUGGUUCCAACACACAUUGUUUGUUUGAUGUUCCCUAUAUUGAGUUGAUGAUGUUGUCAUUGAACGUUAAUGCAAAGAAAAUGAAUGCUUUAUUCUUCCUUGGAA